UGACCAAAUCACCCCCGUGGUGGACUUGGAGUUGGCCUGUACUGGCCUCUCUUAAAAUCAGUGGCGGUGCUCUUUAAAGCUCUAUGCGUAGUAAUUUUCUCGCUACAGGGUCUUGAUUGUACUUGCCAACAACCCCAACUUAUUAUAA
rnacentral:misc_RNA from 1 species